GUCGUAGGUCGAUGAGAAGACCGAUGGCGAAUGAAAGUUAAGGUAUUGCUUGCAAUGCUGAUGGGAGAUCCUUCUCCACUGGAGAGGGCGCAUCCCAGGGGCGUCGUGAUCCCGUUGCGGAUGCGACGCACCUAGAGCACACAUGAUGGGACCCGAAAGAUGGUGACCUAUGCCUGGCCAGGUCGAAGUCAGGGGAAACCCUGAUGGAGGACCGAAGCGAUUCUGACGUGCAAAUCGAUCGUCGGAGCUUGGUAUAGGGGCGAAAGACUAAUCGAACCAUCUAGUAGCUGGUUCCUCCCGAAGUUUCCCUCAGGAUAGCUGGCACUCAGCAAAGGAGACGGGAGUCUCAUCCGGUAAAGCGAAUGAUUAGAGGCCUUGGGCCGUAACGGCCUCAACCUAUUCUCAAACUUUCAAUGGGUGAGAUGCCUUGCCGACCGUGGUGUUGUUAGCGGCAAGGAUUUCGGAUCCGAGUGCCCAGUGGGCCACUUUUGGUAAGCAGAACUGGCGCUGUGGGAUGAACCAAAUGUCCGGUUAAAGCGCCAAAACCAAUGCAUAUUCCCGAUCCCACGGAAAGGAGUUGGUUGCUCC
rnacentral:rRNA from 1 species